AGACAGCAGUCGCCACGGUAAUACGUAGGUCCCGAGCGUUGUCCGGAUUUAUUGGGCGUAAAGGGAGCGCAGGCGGUCAGGAAAGUCUGGAGUAAAAGGCUAUGGCUCAACCAUAGUGUGCUCUGGAAACUGUCUGACUUGAGUGCAGAAGGGGAGAGUGGAAUUCCAUGUGUAGCGGUGAAAUGCGUAGAUAUAUGGAGGAACACCAGUGGCGAAAGCGGCUCUCUGGUCUGUCACUGACGCUGAGACUCGAAAGCGUGGGUAGCGAACAGGAUUAGAUACCCCGGUAGUCCCUGUCUCUUAUACC
rnacentral:rRNA from 1 species